AUUGAACGCUGGCGGCAUGCCUUACACAUGCAAGUCGAACGGUAACAGGUCUUCGGAUGCUGACGAGUGGCGAACGGGUGAGUAAUACAUCGGAACGUGCCUAGUAGUGGGGGAUAACUACUCGAAAGAGUGGCUAAUACCGCAUGAGAUCUACGGAUGAAAGCAGGGGAUCGCAAGACCUUGUGCUACUAGAGCGGCCGAUGGCAGAUUAGGUAGUUGGAGGGAUAAAAGCUUACCAAGCCGACGAUGUGUAGGUGGUCUGAGAGGACGAUCAGCCACACUGGGACUGAGAAACGGCCCAGACUCCUACGGGAGGCAGCAGUGGGGAAUUUUGGACAAUGGGCGCAAGCCUGAUCCAGCAAUGCCGCGUGCAGGAUGAAGGCCUUCGGGUUGUAAACUGCUUUUGUACGGAACGAAAAGCCCCGGGUUAAUACCCUGGGGUCAUGACGGUACCGUAAGAAUAAGCACCGGCUAACUACGUGCCAGCCGCCGCCGUAA
rnacentral:rRNA from 1 species